GACGUAGGGCGCGAGCGUUGUCCGGAUUUAUUGGGCGUAAAGAGCGCGCAGGCGGUCGUUCAAGUCGAGUGUGAAAGCCCCCGGCUCAACUGGGGAGGGUCAUUCGAUACUGAUCGACUCGAAGGCAGGAGAGGGAAGUGGAAUUCCCGGUGUAGUGGUGAAAUGCGUAGAUAUCGGGAGGAACACCAGUGGCGAAGGCGACUUCCUGGCCUGUUCUUGACGCUGAGGCGCGAAAGCUAGGGGAGCAAACGGG
rnacentral:rRNA from 1 species